ACGGGUGCGUAACGCGUGGGAAUCUGCCCUUUGGUUCGGAAUAACAGUUGGAAACGACUGCUAAUACCGGAUGAUGACGAAAGUCCAAAGAUUUAUCGCCAGAGGAUGAGCCCGCGUAGGAUUAGCUAGUUGGUGUGGUAAAGGCGCACCAAGGCGACGAUCCUUAGCUGGUCUGAGAGGAUGAUCAGCCACACUGGGACUGAGACACGGCCCAGACUCCUACGGGAGGCAGCAGUGGGGAAUAUUGGACAAUGGGCGAAAGCCUGAUCCAGCAAUGCCGCGUGAGUGAUGAAGGCCUUAGGGUUGUAAAGCUCUUUUACCCGGGAUGAUAAUGACAGUACCGGGAGAAUAAGCUCCGGCUAACUCCGUGCCAGCAGCCGCGGUAAUACGGAGGGAGCUAGCGUUGUUCGGAAUUACUGGGCGUAAAGCGCACGUAGGCGGCUUUGUAAGUUAGAGGUGAAAGCCUGGAGCUCAACUCCAGAACUGCCUUUAAGACUGCAUCGCUUGAAUCCAGGAGAGGUGAGUGGAAUUCCGAGU
rnacentral:rRNA from 1 species